UGACGAAAGGACUGGCGGUGUGGGAUGGGGAUGCGUCUGAUUAGCUUGUUGGCGGGGUAACGGCCCACCAAGGCGACGAUCAGUAGGGGUUCUGAGAGGAAGGUCCCCCGCAUUGGAACUGAGACACGGUCCAAACUCCUACGGGAGGCAGCAGUGAGGAAUAUUGGUCAAUGGGCGCAAGCCUGAACCAGCCAAGUAGCGUGAGGGAAGACUGCCCUACGGGUUGUAAACCUCUUUUGUUUGGGAAUAAAGUGCGGGACGCGUCCCGCAUUGCAUGUACCAUUUGAAUAAGGACCGGCUAAUUCCGUGCCAGCAGCCGCGGUAAUACGGAAGGUCCGGGCGUUAUCCGGAUUUAUUGGGUUUAAAGGGAGCGCAGGCCGUGGGUUAAGCGUGUCGUGAAAUUCCGUCGCUCAACGGCGGACGUGCGGCGCGAACUGGUCCACUUGAGUACGCGGGACGUUGGCGGAAUUCGUGGUGUAGCGGUGAAAUGCUUAGAUAUCACGAAGAACUCCGAUUGCGAAGGCAGCUGACGGUAGCGCAACUGACGCUGAGGCUCGAAAGUGCGGGUAUCGAACAGGAUUAGAUACCCUGGUAGUCCGCACGGUAAACGAUGGAUGCCCGCUAUUCGCCCACCUGGGCGAGUGGCCAAGCGAAAGCGUUAAGCAUCCCACCUGGGGAGUACGACGGCAACGGUGAAACUCAAAGGAAUUGACGGGGGCCCGCACAAGCGGAGGAACAUGUGGUUUAAUUCGAUGAUACGCGAGGAACCUUACCCGGGCUUGAAUUGCAGAGGAAGGAUUUAGAGAUAAUGACGCCCUUCGGGGCCUCUGUGAAGGUGCUGCAUGGUUGUCGUCAGCUCGUGCCGUGAGGUGUCGGCUUAAGUGCCAUAACGAGCGCAACCCCUCUCCGUAGUUGCCAUCGGGUGAUGCCGGGCACUCUGCGGACACUGCCACCGUAAGGUGUGAGGAAGGUGGGGAUGACGUCAAAUCAGCACGGCCCUUACGUCCGGGGCUACACACGUGUUACAAUGGGGCAUACAGAGUGCCGGCGGCCGGCAACGUCCGUCCAAUCGCAAAAGUGUCCCCCAGUUCGGACUGGGGUCUGCAACCCGACCCCACGAAGCUGGAUUCGCUAGUAAUCGCGCAUCAGCCAUGGCGCGGUGAAUACGUUCCCGGGCCUUGUACACACCGCCCGUCAAGCCAUGAAAG
rnacentral:rRNA from 1 species